UUGGUUUCCAUCCUCAAUAACACAACAAUAUGCAUAUAUGAAGUAAUAAAAAUAAGAUUUCGGUAGAGUUAUAAAUCUCAAAGACUUCCACUUGGCCGAGCUCACUAGAACAGACCCUGUCCUGAGUUUGUGAACACUCUGCAGCCUUCAAGGACACCAGUGCCAGUUACCCUCUCAAGAACCUGAACAGUGGUGGCCAGGGAAGGGUAGGGUUCCCAGUUUACAUUUUCAUUUGUUCCUGUUCCCCCCUGACCAGCAGAUAGCAGAGGCACCGAGACUUCAUGGGCCAGGAAUUCAUGCAAAUUUGGCCAGUAUCCGCAGUCCUAGGUACAUGGCCGCCUUUGAAGAGUCCACCCCACAAAUUGCCUCCGACGUGUGGAGCUCUCAGAGUGAAUUAGGCUGCUGUCUUGGGGUGCGUGGUUUCCAGUCUGCGCUGGGCUCUGGGGGCUGCACUGACUUCGAAUCUGGAUCUCGGUGGUCCAGCAGCGGAGCGAGCUGAGCAGAUGCGAGUGGACGCCGCACGCAGGGGGCCCUUGGGUAGGGGCUGGAAUUGGGAUUCUUCAAAUCCCCUCAGAGAUCCUGGUUGGAAUUUUCUAGAUGCAACUUGUGGUAGGCUGAAUAACAAGCUCUAAAAAUGCCCACGUCCUCAUCCUCAUCCUCAGAAUCUGUGAUUAUGUCACCUUAAAAUAAAGGAACUUUGCCUAUGA